AGGGGUCUGGAGGGUCCCUUGGGGCCGGGGGGUUCCUUUGGGGGUCCCGGGGGGUCCCGGCCCCGCUCGCAGCCCCCCGUGCCCCCCCAGCUCCAUUUCAUCCGGCACUACCUGUGGGAGCGCUCGGGCGGGCCGGGGCCGCAGCCGGCCGGGGAGGAGCGGGCGCGGCUGGAGGAGGAGCUGCUGCGGGAGAUCGAGCGCUUUGUCCUGGCCUCCCACUUCUUCUGGGGGCUCUGGUCCGUGGUGCAGGCCAAGAUCUCCACCAUCCACUUCGGCUACCUGGACUACGCCCAGAGCCGUUUCCAGGCCUAUUUCCAGCACAAGGCUCGCUGCUCCUGAGGGGAUCCC
rnacentral:lncRNA from 1 species